AGCCUACGGGACGCAGCAGUAGGGAAUCUUCCACAAUGGGCGAAAGCCUGAUGGAGCAACGCCGCGUGGGUGAAAAAGGUCUUCGGAUCGUAAAACCCUGUUGUUAGAGAAGAAAGUGCGUGAGAGUAACUGUUCACGUUUCGACGGUAUCUAACCAGAAAGCCACGGCUAACUACGUGCCAGCAGCCGCGGUAAUACGUAGGUGGCAAGCGUUAUCCGGAUUUAUUGGGCGUAAAGGGAACGAAGGCGGUCUUUUAAGCCUGAUGUGAAAGCCUUCGGCUUAACCGGCGUAGUGCAUUGGAAAC
rnacentral:rRNA from 1 species